rnacentral:lncRNA from 1 species
UUUUCCUCCAUUUUGGUAUUGUUCAUCGUCGUGGUCCAUGAUUUUUUCCCCUCAUUUCCAUGAUCUAUUUGAUCUUAGAAAUAGGGUCUGUUUUAUAUUUUUUUCCGCUCAUUUACAUGAUCUAUUUGAUCUUUGAAAUGAGUUUUCUUUUAUAUUUUUUCCCCUUAUCUUAUAAUGGGUUCUUGUUUUUUAUUUUAUUUUUCCUAAGAUUGGGUUGAGAUCUUAGGAAUGAGUUGUCCAGUAGAUGUUUUAAAUUUUGUUCCCCUUAAGUAAAUGUUGGAAAUGGGAACCGAUUUUUUUCUUUUCCCCUAUUAUUGUGUUUUGUCACUCCGUACCAGAUUAUUUUAUCAUCGUGGUUGUAUCAGGCCACACCAUCUAGCAGUGUUUAAAAUUUUUUCCCCUCUUUUCGAAAAUCAAAUUCUUACAAAUGGGUUCUGGUUUUUCCCCCCCUAAUAUACCUUCUAUAUUUGAUCUUGAGGAUGGGUUUACCCUGAUUUUCAAUUUUUUUCACCUAGUCUCUAGUAGUUUUGCUGUUUCACGUUUAUUCUAUGUUGAUCUUGGUUUUUUCCCUUGUUUUCGAUCAUUCUAAUGUUAAAAAUCGGUUCGUCCAUUUCUAUAGUCAUUCUUCCCCACUAUUUCUAUUUCAUUUCUUCUUUUAUUUGCCCUCAUUUCCACCGUUAGAAAUGGGUUUGAUUUCUACUGAUCGAUCUCGUUAUUUACCCCACUUUUUUACAGGAAUAUUUGGAUGUUUUCUUAUGUAAUCUCGUGUAUGUUCUUUCCUAACUUUUUGCUAUUGUCUAAUGCUUUUUUUUGUAAAUUAUAUAUUAUCUGUAGGUCGUUAUUUAAGAAAAUGGCUCACAAGAAACGUUCGGCCCUUGGUAGCUCGUCUACUCCUGGUAAGUAUGAUUUUUGUUGUUGUUUGUUACCCCGUGCUGUGUGUACUAUGCACUAUUUACUAUUUUGUAAACCUGCACUAUGUACUAUUUGCAUUUUCAUUUAUAUUAUGUGACUGAUUAACUAUGUCAUGUUCAUAGAAUUGGUUGCAGAGUAUGAUGUUCCGUGCUUCUGCCCGUCAUGCCUAGCCGACCCAAUGCAUCAAGAGGAUCAUCAUCGUAACGAGGAUGCUCGUGCCCGAAACGAUUUACACCGCGCGUUCGGGCACGCCAAUAACUAUCGAAAACGCUAAUAACUAUGCACUAUACACUAUGAACUAUGCAGUACAUGCUACGCACGAAUGUGUUGUAUGAACUAUGUACUAUUCACUAUUAAGCAUGCAAUUUGUACUAUGCGUAAUCGAAUAUUAAAUAUGCACUAUGUACUGCGUGCAGUGCACUGUGUACUGUGGACUGUGAAAGAGAUUGGAGAUAAAUGUACAAAUAGUGCAAACCCAACCCUUCAUGAAAAUACCUUAUUGAAGAGGGAAAUAGAGUGGGAAAAAAACGAACAACAUACCUGGGAAGAUAUUAGAGGAGAUCCGCAUUUUUUUAUAAGAUAUAGAGAAGGUUAGAAAUAGUAAGAAGAGACUAGAGGUAAGGAAUGAGAGGAAAUAGGGUUUAAGAAGGGGAUGAAGAAAGGGGAGAAAACGUGAGUGAGAGAGAAGGGUAAAAGUAAAAGUGAAAAGUGGGUGGAAAGUAGGUGAGAAAAGUAUAUGUGAAUGGUGACAAAAACACAUUGGACAAAGGGAUGUUGUUAGUGAAUGAUGAUAAAAUAAAGAUUAUGCAUGGGGAUCUUCCCCCAAAUAAUAGAAAAAAUGAAUUAAAUUAAUGACCGUCGGAUGUAGAUGAAGGGCAAGGAUUGAAAGUUCUCACGGGGAUCUCACGCUUCAGGUUCUCACCUGAAGCUGACUCUAUAUAUAUGAUUCACGUUUAUCAUUUCACAGCAUUUAGAGUAGUUCUUAAAACGUUAUUAAAGCAUGAAAUUGCUGAACUGACCGUCCGGGUACGGAGCGGGUACCAAGUCCGAGUACGAGGAAUUUCACCCCUAGUAACAUCUCAGUUAUUUUAAUUUUGUAUGUUGAUGAUAUGUUAAUUGCUAACUCACGUACGAAGGAAAUCAAGUUUCUUUCGUGUUAUUAUCAUGGAUCCAUUUUUGGUGAGGUUCGCCCAUGCUGCGGACAAAGAGAACGGGUGUUCCCUAUCGCGCUUUCGUCCCCUGACUGGUGUCGUCUGUCCCCUACAUCUGGAAUCACGGUUUCGGUUCUAGUCCCACGAUUCCGGGAUGUCCGUUCCUAAAACCGCACCAGUUCCAGGUCACGCUGUCUCUUCCGUCCCAUUUAAAAUGAGCCACAUCCGUCCGCACAGGAAGGGGGUGUUAUUAUUAUUUUGAACACUAAAGGAUUAGGAAAUCUCACCACUAAGUCAUUGGAUCAAAAGCCUGAAAGGCUUAACUAAGUUCACCUCAAAGGCCUGUAUUACCAUGGGUGAAACUACCAAAUUGUCCUCGUGAAGUAACAACCCUAUAAAUAGUACCAUUGUUUCGCCGCUCUCCCCAAAAAAGUUUUGAUGGUUACUGAAGAAAAAUGUCACCAACAGACAACAGUCCGUCAGUUACACAUCAUCCACGAGCCGAGUUUGUUAAAGGAUCGCCGAUCUUCCCCGUUACACACCAGUAACUCAUCGUCGAUCGGCUCUGGUUCAUCGUCGACCUGUCCGAUAUGAUUUGAAAUUGAAACCUCUCUCUCACUAGAAUCGUUGCGUGUCGCUAUGCAAUGUAAGAAGGUGCCAGAACACGAAAGACGGAGAUCCGCGCUUCUUUACUUCGUCAUCUUCUACAUUUUAAGCUUUGAUCAUCAAUCAUCUCUCUUCCCAUAACAUUUUGUCGACUCUGCUGGGGAAAUCUUGUUUCCAUCUUCGAGCGAUCUUCAACUUCGGAUCUCGGUGCGAUAUUUGUCUCUAAUCCCUUUAUUUUCUUCUACUACUAAUCCUCCAAGCGUUUUUUUUCUUUUCAUAUCCUUCCAAUUCUUUUCGAUAACCCUCCAAUCGUUAGUAUCAUAAUCGCCAAUUUUCUUCUACACGACCAAAUCCGAGAGGAAUUCAAAGUUUGAAAGCCCACGUGGAAACUCUAGAAUUGCUAUAAGAAAAUAAAAAUUAACAUAAAUAAUACAAAGGCCGACGCUUUAGAACAGCUAACCAGUUGGGGCCCUCUUUCAUAAAUUGGGCCAAUUAAGUCAUUGGAUCAAAAGCCUUAAAGGCCUGUAUGUAUUACCAUGGGUGAAACUACCAAAUUAUCCUCGUCAACUGUCAAGUGGUAACCCUAUUAUAAAUAGUAUCAUUGUUCCGUCACUCUCCCCAAAAAAGCUUCGAUGGUCGGUCACUGAAGAAAAGUGUCACCAACAGUCCGCCGGUUACACAUCAUCCACGAGUUGAGUUUGUUAAAGGAUCGCCGAUCUUCCCCGUUACACGCCAGAAACUCAUUGUCGAUAGGUUCUGGUUCUACGUCGUUGAUCUGGUUCAUCGUCGUCUACCUGUCCGGUAUGAUUUGAAAUCGAAACCUCUGUCGCUUAGUUUUGAACAAAUAUAUUAUCACUAGAAUAAUCAAUUUUUUUUAAAUCGAGUGAAAUAAUGUAGGAGUAGAAGAUGGUGAAUGGAAUCUUAAGAAGGAGUCCAUUGGAUCCAAAACUGCUACAGGAGUCUUAUCCUUUAAAGUUCAAAGUACCGAAGAUCGAGGCAUACAAUGGAACUUCCAAUCCACAAGAUCACAUGGAUAUUUUCAUCUCCUUAAUGGAAAUCCAAACAACCAGAGAUGAUUUACUCUGUAGGGUGUUUCCACUGACUUUGAAAGGAAUAUCUUACCAGUGGUACGCGAAUUUACCAGUUGCUAGCAUUACUGAUUUCUCAGACUUGGGGCGGAAGUUUUUGGCACAGCACUCGCUUCUUUUGCGAAUGAAUAACAACUCUCUAAAAUAUGAAAGAUCAACACAUGAAAGUAAAAGAAACCGAAGAAACCCUAUAAAAGAGAAAGUCCAACCGCCGUCGCAACCGGAAGAAAAGAGGAUAAAGUUAUCAAUGUCUUCUAGAAAGAGUCCGUUGGAUUCAAAAUUGCUACAAGAGCCCUACCCGUUAAAAUUCAAAGUGCCGAAGUUCGAGACUUACGGAGGAACUUCUGAUCCGCAAGAACACAUAGAUAAAUUCAUCUCACUGAUGGAAAUCCAAACAGCCAGAGAUGACUUGUUAUGCAGGGUGUUUCCACUGACUUUGAAAGGAAUAUCAUACCAAUGGUUCGCGAAUUUACCUUCCGCCAGCAUUACCGAUUUCUCAGACUUGGGACGGAAGUUUCUGGCACAACACACUGCUCUUCUGCGAGUGAAGAAUGAACCUUAUAUUCUGGGUAACAUAGAACAUGGAAAUCUGAGUUUACGUGAUUAUACAAAAAAAUUUACAGAAGCUCUAACAAUCGUCGUUUGUGAUAGACCUCUUUAUGAAGAAUCUCAACGAUGAGCACCUUCUUAGAGAUCUUUUCAAAAAUAAGGCACACACCGUAACAGAAUUACUUGAAAGAGCUAGAAAAUUCAUCGAGAUUGAAGAUCAGAUUAACUGGAGAGAUUAUGAGAGCUAGAAUCUUCAGGAGGUAGUAGGGGUGGUGGUAAUGCAGUUCGUCUCUUCAAGGAAGGGUACUUCUGUUUUGUACAAAUUUAAAAACUUUAGGUAUCCUAAAAAAAAUAUGAUUUUGUGAAAAUACCUAGAUCUAUUUCAUCAGUUUAAUUUGUAAGGUUAAUUAAAUUUUACAAUAGUAUGCAAAUGCAAUAUUUGCUAAGUUGAUGUUUAUUAAAUCAAAUGUGUUAGUGUCUUAUAUUAUUUUAGUUAUGAGAUUAAAUACUAAUGAUCAUGAUUUGAUAUACCUUUAAUCUUCUUAUACAUCAUUAACUUUUUCAAAACUAGUCGUUAAUAUUCGCUCCCAUCAGAUCCACUGACUGCUAAGAGAUCAUUUUUUUUAAAUAGUUUUGCUAAUACCUUUGUUGCGACAUGCAUAACAAUCCCAAUCGGGCAAAACAAGAGACAAAGACAGAUCGAGUGUCGUGUUUCGAUAUUUUUCUUCAACCCAUCACGAAAUAUCUGUCUGCGGAUAAAAAAAACACAACACAAACAAAUUUCAAUAAUUAAGCAAUUUCUAGAGUGGGGUUGAGUUUCUUACCUUGCCGCGAAAAGAUCGACCACCAACAAAUGAAUCCAUGCCGAUGCUAAGGUCAUUUCGCUUGUGAACAUUUUCGCUAUACUUUGUAGCUGCAAAAUUGUGCAUACAAAUCAAUUUUAAUCGUCAAUGAAACGAUUCAAAUGAGAUAUUAAUCACAACGAUUCAUGCAAAUCAUUUAUUUUAAUCUAAAUUAAUAUCUCAUGAGAUAUCAAAUCUAAAUUUUUAUGGUGAAAUUGAGGUAUGGACCUCUGGUAACCAAUAUUUGCUUGCAAACAUUAAUCGAAAUGUAUUGGGAGUCCAAGAUAGGUAGAGAAGAUAUGCAUAUAGUCCCCCAAGAAUCACAAAAGGAAGAUUACUCUCCACGCUCCUUUUCGUCUGAUAAGAGAUUCUAGAUUAAUCAAGUAGUUAAUCCGUUAAUUAUAUAAUUAGAGUCGUAAUUACCAGUGGAGCAGUGGGAGCUAGGAGCAUCAAAGAGUAGAAAGGAAGAACAGUGGCUGUCCCGACUGUGAAAGCAUUGCUAGCAAUAUGUGUGUUGAAGAGAACUGAAGCAGAAAUAGCAACGUCCGAUGGACGACGGAGAUGGAGAAAGUGGUUCUUUCUAUUGGGAAUAAGUCUCCGGCCACAUGCAAUUUGCUCUCCGAAGAAAAAGGUUCUUCCUUUGCAUGUCGGCUGAGUUUUCUGGUAUUCUACCUGCAAGAAAAGAACCCAUUUCAGAUCUGAUUUGAUUGCGAUUUCAGAACCAAACAGCAACCCACCUGGUAGGAGAUUACGACGGAGGAAGGAGGAAGUCGCAGCAUCUUAGGGAGGAUUUCAUUCAACCAGGUUCGGAUAAGUGAAAUCUCCUCAGAUUAGGUAUAGUGUAUUAGACUAGUAGCACUCUUUAAAUGACAUCGCGAUGAUGUCAUGAUGAUGACUUAUUUAUCUUAUCAAUUAUCAUGUCAUGUCAUGUCUUGUCGAUUCUGUACUGUUCUGUCCAAGUGUUUUUUCUUUGGGAUUUAGGUGAGGAAAAGGGGAUGAAUCGUUGGGUGGUCGGGGAGGUUUGAUGGGUGGAUUUCUGAAUUGGGUAUUUGAGAUUUACGCAAGAGAAUUCGAUUCUACUGUGUUCUGUGAGGAUUGAUUGAGUGGUGGGAGGUUGGGUGUGGUUGUUUUUGAGGAAGAAUGAUGGAGAUUCUGGAAGGGUUAGUGAAGGAAGGUUCCUUCAACUGGACUGGAAAUAAUGAGAACUCGUUCGACAAGGAGUUUGAGGAGAUGGGUCGGUCUCCGUCCGGGAAACGAAAGUCCAUACCGGAGCUCUCGUCGGUGGCGAAUGUGAUCAUCUGCCGUUGUUCUCGGUACUUUCUUUCUUCCUCACCCCCAAAGUUCGAAUUUUUUUAUUCUUUACUUAAUUCGUCGGAUAAUAUCUAGUUUUCUUCUUCUCUUGGUCUAGAGUUUUGGAUAUCUCUAUGGACGAUCUUCAAACUAGCUUCAACGAAGAGGCUGCUGAUCCUAUUAAACAGCCUUCUUGCUAUGCACGGAAUUUCCUUGAGUACUGCUGUUUUAGAGCUCUACCGGUGUCGACUCAAGUCGCGGGGCAUCUAGCCGAUUACAACUUCCGGCGACUGACUUUUGAUAUGAUGUUAGCUUGGGAAUCCCCGGCUGCUUCAAAUGAGUCCAGUGUUAAGUUAAUAGAUGAAGAGAGCACGGUCGGUAUGGACUCUUUCUCUCGAAUUGCUCCGGCAGUCCCCAUCAUCGCCGAUGUUAUCACUUGUACCAAUUUGUUCAAUGUUCUCGCCGAUUCGACCAGUGGUCGUCUUUACUUCUCCACUUAUGAGAAUUAUCUCGGCGCAUUAGACCGGUUGAAAAUCCUAAAACCCAAACUAAUGUUUUUUUCCAGAUAAUUUAUGAUUCUAGAAUUAAUAUUGAUUGAAUGCAUAUUUUUUUCAGAGUAACUAAGAACAUGAAGAAUGAUUCAGAAUCAUCGCAUCUUUCGUCCCUUCGAUUGGAUAGAAAAGAGAGAAUUCUGGAUAUGGAUGGAACAUUGAGGAAAAUGCCGGUUUUGGAACAUAUAGGGAUGUCGAUAUGGCCGGGUAGAUUAACACUAACUGAUCACGCCCUUUACUUUGAAACCCUUCGUGUCGUGAACUACGAUAAACCCCAGGUUUAUGAUUUAGAAGAUGAUCUCAAACAAGUCGUCAAACCUGAUCUCACCGGGCCAUUGGGUGCCCGUUUAUUCGACAAGGGUGUGAUGUACAAUUCCAUAUCAUUGUAAGUUACAGUUUCUUGUUAAUUUUUCUUCAGUAUCAAAGUUUAUGGUCCCUGUAAUUUCCAUCUCUUUCUGUACAGAUCAGAACCGAUAAUUCUCGAGUUUCCAGAGCUUACCGGUCGUUCUCGGCGUGACCAUUGGUUAGCCGUUAUUCGUGAAAUUCUAUACGCGCACGAUUUUAUAAGAAAGUUUAACUUAAGUGGUCUGAACAAGGAAGAAACGCUUUCAAAAGCAGUUCUGGGCAUACUACGAUUACAGGCUAUAGAUGAGAUGAAUUGCGUUGAUUCGCUCCAACCCGAUUCACUUCUAAUGUUCAAUGUCUCUGACCAACUACCUGGAGGAGACUUGAUACUGGAAGCUCUUGCGAAAGUUGCGAAUACAGAAACACGAGAUAAAAAUUACGACUCACAAAGUGGGAGCAAAGGAAGAAUGUACUCCUUGCCGUCUUUGAUGAUUUUAUCGAACUUGGGGCUGGUUUCAAAUGAUGUUAACGAAACAAAGCUUCUUGUUGGAGAGCUAGUUGUUGGGAAACCAAGUUACUUGGAAAAGGCCGUUGAGAAAUCGAGAAGUAAAUUAAAAAACACAGAGUCUGCAAAGGCGACAGUUGAUAGUGUUAAAGUUGAUGGUAUCGACACAAAUAUUGCUGUAAUGAAGGUAUUGUAUUUUAUGAUAUCGACAAAGAAAAUGAUGAUUUGAUUUAUGGACUAAUAUUAAUCUGAAUCAUCUAUUUUGUAGGAAUUGCUUUAUCCUAUUACAGAGAUAGGGAAGCAUUUAUCAAAUAUUCUAUCUUGGAAUGAACCUAUAUCAUCUUUAGUUUUUUGUUUCGCCUCUUCCUGCAUUAUAUGGAGGUACGGAAAUCUCACUCUGCUCUAAAAAAUCUGAUUGGCUUAAAAUCAUAUAUUCAACAUUUAAACUUAAACAUUGGUUGCAUGGUAUCAGAGUGAUCUUGUUUUAUGGCUUAUGUAUCUUUCAACUACACUAGUUUUGUUUAGUGAAUUUAGGAAUGGAAAUCUCUUUCUACUCUAAAAAAUCUGAUUGGCUUAAAAUCAUAUAUUAAAAACACUUAAAUUUAAACAUCGGUUGCAUGGUAUCAGAGUGAUCUUGUCUUAUGGCUUAUGUAUCUUUCAACUAAACUAGUGUUUUUUUAGUGAACUUGGGAAUGGAAAUCUCAUUCAUGUUAAAAAUUGAUUGCAUGGUAUCAGAGUUAUUCUAUAUUUAUUUACUUAUGGCUUGGCAUCAUCUUUAAGCUACACUAGUGUUGUUUAGUACUGAAUUGAUCGACCGCUUUAAUUUUUGGAUCUUAUGCAGUGGCUUUGUGAGGAUUGCAUUUGCAUCGAUUCCAUUUUUAUUGGUGAUUUUUAUGGUGUUGACGCGGUGUUGUAAUUGUGGGAAAUCGAUGGUGGAAGUAAAGGUCAAGCCACCACCACCAAUGAACGCUAUGGAACAACUCAUAGCUCUUAAAACCGGAAUCUCGCAAUUAGAACAAUUCAUACAAGAUGUCAACAUUUUUCUUCUGAAAUCACGCGUAUUAUUGUUAUCUGUUCUUCCACAGGUUCGUUCAUUUGUUUGUAAUUACCAUCUCUAGCUAACUACUCAAUCUGAAAUCUAUGUUGCAUUGAAUUAUCGUCGACAGGCAACUGACAAAGUGGUGCUUGUGCUGGCUUUGUUUGCAUCUUCAAUUGCUUUUCUCCCAAUCAAGGUUUUAUUGUCUUGUGUGUUCCUUGAAAUAUCCACAAGGUACUCGCCGCCGAGAAAAUCAAGCACGACAAGGUUUAAAAGAAGGCUGAAAGAAUGGUGGUUCAGCAUCCCAGCAGCGCCAGUCUUACUAGAUCGCUCCGAUGAAGAUAAGAACAAAUAGAGUGAUAUACCAGAAUCCAUCAGUUGGUGUGUUCAUAUGUGUAUGUAAUUCUAGGAAUCAAUACAACUCAUAUACUUGGUAAAUAAGUGUAUAGCUAAACUAUAAAUUUAUUAUUUUGAUUCUGUUAUUUUAUAUUGAUUCAGUUAUAUUAAGUUAGAUCUACUAAUUCUGAUUCAGUUGUGUUAGUUAGAUCUAAUUCUGAUUCAGUUAUGUUAGUUAGAUCUAGUUUUGAUUCUAUCAUGUUAGUUAGUUAGAUCUAGUUUUGAUUCUAUUGUGUUAGUUAGUUGGUUAGUUAGAUCUAGUUUUUAUAUAUUCAGUUAUUUGUGAAUAAUGGAUUCCACGAUAUGAUUAUAAUAGUGUCGUGUUAGUGUUGACACAGUACCACGAGAUUUUGAGAUGGCUAUUAAUGCAAUCAUGUGAUUCAUUCGACCGGACAAUUCGAUGUGUCGUUUGGAAAAUCGAGGGAUCAUAUUUUUCAAUAAUGAUUUAAAAGAGAAUGUAUGUAAGAAACAACCACCUAGCUUUGAUGAUCAUGUUCGUUCUGACAAGGUUUAUGUUCUUCGCAAAAUGAAUUAGAAUCUCCGACAAGCUCCAUGUUCAUGGUGUGGUAUGAUAAUUAAUUACUGAUCAAGAUCCGAUUUUAAAAUACGGCGAUUCUCAUUUAAUCAUAAGUUUCUAAGAUUUUUACUUAAUUAUAUUCGUAGAUUUGUCAUUUUUGCUUAAAAAAAUCCGUCAUUUUCUUACAUGUUUUCUUGCAACGACAGUGUUAUUAACCAGUAUCCACCAUUUUCCUUCCCAUGUGUUUCGCCUUGCCACUCAUCGACGAUUUCAACCCUACAUCUCUCUCUCUCUACCGCCCCCAUUCAAUUCUCCCAACGCCGCUAGAGGGAUCGAAGAACAAGAGUGAUGGGCCAUGGAAGUGAAGCUCAAAGUGCCAUGUCUUAAUUGUAGCCGACGAUCCCAGUCGUUUGGGCACGACACUUGCAUUUAAUGUCUUUUGGAUAUGAGGAAAUUCUCAGGCAAUUCCCUUGAGUGUCAGUUUAAUCCAAACCGGCCAACCAACUUAUCGAAACCGAAAACCGACCGCCCAACCAAAUCCUUGUGCUAGGUUUGGUCCCACAAGCACAAGGGGUAACAUGUUCGCACUCUGCGAAGAUCUAUGUUCUAACUGUUCAACCUGAUGUUCAAUCACUAACUGAAAUAACUACUCGAUCAAUCACUCAGUUGCUGACACGACACGACACGACGGGCAUCUGAUCACAGAGUCUCAGUCCGUCUAUCGAUCUCAACCUUUCAUUUUAAAUGAAUGAUUUGACAAGAUAAGUAAAAGUUAAUUGAAGCUAUGUUUGAUUUCACAAAGUGGAUAAAAUGUAUAUAAGUAAAUAAAAAUUAAAAUACAUUAACAAUAAUGACAGUUAAUAACUGAAUUAAUCGUUUGAAUCUGAUCUAGUUAUGUCAAAUCAGUUUAAAAUAAUAGAAUUACAGUUAUAUCAAUGAUUGGAUGAAGCUGAACAUAUGAACUAAGAACACUAGCUAUAAAUAGGGAGUAACUUAGCAAUGGAGAACUCAAACCAAGGAAGAUUUCACAAACAGAACACAAAUACAGGAAGUUAAUUAUGAGGAUCAUGGUGGAAUGUUCGGGAAGUAGGAGUGUUGUAGGAUUGGCGGCGGCGGCUUCGCCAAUGCUUAACAUGGAAACACUCCGGCAGAAGCAUCGGUUCUCUAAAGUCACCACCACUCGUCGUGGAGGAGGUAGUGGGUUGCCGGUGGGUGAUGAUGGUGGUGGUGAGGAGGAAGGAGUUGUGGUGAUAUUGGGUGCUACCGGGACCGGGAAAUCUAAGCUAUCGAUUGAUAUCGGUAAAAGUUUUCCGGUAGAAGUUAUCAACUCCGAUAAGAUGCAAGUGUACGAUGGAUACGACAUCACUACUAAUAAGAUGACGGUGGCGGAACGGAGAGGUGUUCUGCAUCAUCUUCUAGGCGAAUUGGAGAAUGAUGUUGAGCUUUCUCCAUUGGGAUUCCGAUCACUUGCUUCGAGGAGAAUUGCGGCGAUACAGUCGCGGAAACGGUUGCCGGUUGUUGCCGGUGGGUCCAACUCUUAUGUCCAUGCUCUUAUGGCUAAGAAAUACGAUGCUGAGAAUGCGAACAUUGCCGGUGACGGUGGGUUGAACUAUCGUAGUUGCUUGCUGUGGGUAGAUGUUGGGUGGGAGGCGCUUGUCAUGCAACUCGAUCGGAGAGUUGAUGACAUGGUGGCAAUGGGGAUGGUGGAGGAGCUAGCCGUAAAUUUCAACCGUAGCAGAGCGGAGCAAGGAAUUUACAAAGGUAUAGAGAAAGCCAUCGGCGUGCCGGAGUUUGAUAAGUUCUUCCUUAAUCACUCUCCGAACACCUGGCUGACCACCGGAAACUGUACCAAGAAGAUGAAGAAAGAGUACAAGUCUGCGGUGGAGGAGAUAAAGCUGAACACCAGGGUAUUAGCUCGGAAUCAAGUGGCGAAGAUCGAGUGUCUAAUUUCGGCCGCCGGGUGGAAUAUACGAAGGUUGGAUGCAACUGAGGUGGUAAGGAAGAGGAUUAAUGGUGUGCAGAAGAAGGAAGUUGAGAUGGAAUGGGAACGAACAGUGCUCCGUCCAGCCAUGGCUGAUGUCGGAAAUUUCGUCCGACGAGGUUCAAAUGGAGGAGCCUCGUCUGUGGGGUCGGAAUUCUGGUCAUCGAAUUAUGCAUUGUCUGCUAUGAAGCAAGCUGCCGGAGGAGGAGGAUCAGGAGUAGCCCACCAGAAAUUUUGAUCUGGUGAUUUUAUGUUAACUCUUGUGAGGACCAUUUAUUAGUUUUAUAUCGGAAGAGAACGGAGGUAGAAAGUCAGGCGGUGGUUUCCGGUGAUAUUUAUUAACCACUAGCCACCACCUUGCCACCUGUAACCUCGUUCUCUCUUUUGUUCUUUCCAAUAUCAUAGAAUAUUCCAUGUAAAUAUCAAUGGUUAUCAUAUGAAUUAACUCUAGUUACUUUAAUAACUUCAGAUACGUCCUACUUUGAAUGCUCAUCAUAUAUCAUUAAAUCGUAACCGUUAGUAUUUAAUCCAAUGAUUAAAAUAACGUAUUGCACAAGAUACUAACACAUGUACGACGCAAAGUCAAUCUAAUGAACAAGAUUAACUUAGCACAUAUAGACGCACUUGAAUACUACUGAAUUAAUUACUAGAGUUAUUUUCAAACUUUUUUCUCUUUCAAGUUCUAAUUUAAAUAUGAAAAUUUUCAGAUGUUAAAUAUCAUAAAUCACAUGUUUAAAGUAAAUAGCUAAGAUAAUUGUAAGGUGUGCCGAAAUCAAAAUGCGUGCGUCAAAUUAAUUUUAUCCAUUAGAUCGACUUUGUGUCGUACAUGUGAUAAUGUCUUUUUCAGUACAUUAGUUUGCGUCGUACAUGUGUUAAUGUCUUUUGCAAUACAUUAGUUUACGUCGUACAUGUGUUAGUGUUUUAUGCUGUACAUUAUUUUAGUCAUUAGAUUAAAUAUUAAUGAAAACGAUUUGAUGACGCACGACAACACAUUCAAGUACGACGCAUUCAUUAUUUAAUUUUUUAUUAUAAAUAUGAAACAGAUCUCGAGAUUUCAGAUCUCGAAAAUAAAAAUAGAAAAUAGACGACCAUUAUCAUUAUCUCAGUAUUUCAUAUUUAAUAUCUCAUUCGAAAAUAUUUAAACUAUUGUGUUAUUUAUUUUAAAUAAAAUGAAUCAUAUCCAAAUGAACGAUCUAGAUUAAUAUCUUACAUAGGUAUUUGUAUGAUGUUAUAGAAAUGGAAUCUACGUAGUUUGGAUGGAAUGAAUCUCGAGAUAUGCAAGAACAUGGGAUAACCUCAACCGCAAGCCGCUACGAUAAUGAAAAAAAAUCCACCGCGAGAUUCAUAAAUGGAUGGUUUUGCAAGUUAGGGCAGCGGGAAGAAGCACACCAUGUGAAACUAUGCAAGUAGUUAGCGAAAUGUCUGGUUCUACAUAAGCAUUAAGUCGUGGUGUUCCUUCCUUCCUUCCAUUAUUUCGAACUCGCGCCCAUAUCUACUGAGACCACUGACUAUACUUAGGAUGAAAUCAACAUGAUCGGAGCUUCUUUAAAGUUUAAUUCUUUGUAUGCUAGUUUUCUACCGUGAAAGCAAUAUUGUAAACAAAUUCAGAGACAUCCUCCGACCAUGAUGUUUCGGCAGUUUGACAAGUUUGUAUAUAUAAAUAGAUAAAAUAUAGAGUUGGCUCCUCUGGGCUCCGACCCAUAUUAUUAUUUUAUCUCAAGUGGAGCGUGAAACAACUGAUCCGUCGCUCAACUUGAUCGCCGCCGAAUAUAUUGAUGGGACCAUUUUUAAUUUAUAUUCCUUACAUUAUUAAAGUUCAACUUGUAUGAUACUAUUGGAUCAUAUGGUUGUACGUGGAAGCUGGGCCAAAAUCGGAUCGGGCCUUUUUGUCAGUUUAUUUGCAAUGGGCCUUUUCGCCAUAAAUACAACCGACAAACUAGGGUUGGAACAAAAUCUACCCAUUUAAUAGGGUCAGCUUCUAGUGAAAACUAUAAAAAUAAGAACUAUAUGAAAACUAUGCAUCUUGACCCUUACAUUUAGAUCUAAUGGUGAUUUAUAUUGUUUAUUAUUUAAAUCAUUUAAAGGUGAAGAUCCUCAUAUAGACAUUUUAACGGUCGUGAUCUGGUUCUCACAUAUCCGGUUUUCACUAGAUUCGUUUUCUCAUUUAAUAUAUAACUUUUUAUGUAAUUUUUUAUUAUCAUAAAAUCAUUUUUUUUUAAGUUGUACACAUUAUACUAAUACAUAAGUAAAUAAAAUUAAAAUACAUAUAUUGAGACUAGAACCAUAAACCUUCAACCAUUUUAACAGUGUCGGUAACUGUAACCAAUUGAAUUAAUAAGUUAUCUGAUCAGUUUUUUAUUAAGUUCAAUUUGAUAACACGUAAUUUGAAUGUGUCAUUGAAACUCGCCUUCAGUUCCCACCAAAUCCAGUCCAGAUAUUAGAGUGGAAGAUCUGACGAAGGCUGCGUAAAAAAUUACGCGCCACUCUCCCCCUUCGGGGUUACUAUGGAAUGCUAUUGGGUGUUUCGUGUUUGUCGUGACAUAUAUAGACGGAAAGAAAUAAAAAAUACAGACAUCACAUUAGUAGGCCUUCUUGGAUAGUCCUUAAAGAGAUCAUUAAAAACAACAAUCUUUCCUUUGAUCUGAACUGUUACAAGAAAAGUUGUUGUCAUCCUUUGGAGACAUAUAUGAUGAAAGCAUGAGAGAUCAACCUUCUGAGACAGCGUAUUUAGUUACUGUAUAAUUAGACUACAUAGCUAAUGGAAGAUAAUCAAUAAACUUUUUGUUAGUUUUUUUUUUAUACUCUAUGUAACUUGGACAUUGUACUUAUUUUUUUAACGACAUCUAAUUGUUUUUAAUUUUUUAAUCAAGUGGAUGGGGAGUAGGAUUGGGCAUGGGUCGGGUUUCUCUUGGGUUUGCCUAAACCCGGACCCGAGUUUUUAAAUCGGGUUCGGGUCAAAACCCGGAAAGGUUAAAAAAAUAUUGAACCCGGAUCCGAACCCGGUUUUGAUGUCGGGUUUGGUCGGGUCCGGGUUCGGGUUUAAUUAUAAAUUGAUUGAAUAUUUUACAUAAAAAACUCUGUUGUUUAAAUAAUAUUUAAAUUUUAUAAAAAUCAAAUAAAAUGGUUUAUGAAGAUAGAGAGGGUUUAUGAAGAUGGAGAGAUCCGACGACGGUGAGGAGAGGUCCGACGAGGGUGAGGAGAGAUCCGACGACGGCGAGGAGAGGGUCGGCGACGGCGACGGCGAGGAGAGGGUCGGCGACGGCGACGGCGAGGAGAGGGUCGGCGACGGCGAAGAGGGAAAAUGAAAGUGGAAGAGGAGAGGGAAAUGAAAUUAAGGUUUAAAUGUUAAGAUAUGAAAUUAAUUAAUUAAUUAAGGUUUAUAAAAGAUGGGAAAUUUAUAAUUAUAUAUAUUAAUUUUUUUAUAAAGUGUUUUAUAUGAAAUUAUAUUAAUUAUUUAUAUUUUAAUAAAUUUUUUAUAAAUUUCUUCGAGUUUCUGGUGAGUCGAGUUUGGUUCGGGUUUAACCCGAACCCGACCCAAAAAAAUCGGAUAAAAAUUACUCGAGUUCGGGCCGUUCGCAUCGGGUUUCAUGACCGAAAAUAUCAACCCGAAAUCGGACUCAACAUGUUCGGGUCGGGUUCGGAUUUGGCCCGACCCACGCCCACCCCAAAUGGGGAGCGACCGGAAAAAAAAACAUGUAGCUAAUAAUAAAGUACGGUCCCAAACUCCUACUGGGCUAUGGGGUUUAUUUAUUUAUUUUUGAAAAAUUAAAUGGAUUUCAUUUUGAAAUUAUAUAUAUUGACGAAUUUAUUUAUUGAUUUAAUUGUUUAAAUUAAAUGCUUAAUUAAUUCGAUGGGAAUUUUACACCGAAACUCAAUAUUUAGAGGAUGCGCGUGGAAUAUUUCUUAUAAUAUGCACAUUUUUCUUUGAAUUGUCAGUCAACAAUGGACAAGAAGGACAAGAAGAACAAGAAGACUGAAGAGCCGAAGCUGCCCGCCAUCACUGAAGAGCCGAAGCUGCCCGCCAUCACUGAAGAAGUAGGAGGAGAAAAAGAAGAGGAAGAGGAGAAGGGCGAAGAUGAUAAAGAUUUGAUACAGGAGGAGGUGGAUGAAUUCUUCGCCAUCUUACGCCGGAUUCAAAUGGGCAAGUCAGUCAGCGUUGGGCGCCCUACUAUCUCCGGCGAUGGAGCGACAACGGUGGUGAGAGAGGGUAAUAGUGGUUUAGCAUGGAACCCAGUGUUCCGAUCAGAAGACUUCGGGGAAGAGACGAAGCCGGAAUGUUCCACUGUGAACAAAAAAGAAACGAAUACGAAAAAAAGACUGUGGAUAGAUCUCAACGAGUUGCCGUCGAAUUCAUCAGGUGCCGGAAGCAGUAGUUCCAAUUAAUUUUCAUCUUUAGAUCGAUUCAUGUGAUACUCUUAAUGAACUAACGGAAUCGACUGAAAUUUUUUUUGAUGAAGAUAAAUUGAUUAAUAAUACAAAUUCAAGAUAACUAAGUUUGAUUAGAUUCAACCGACAUUCGCAUUAUGUUUGACCCACUACCCACCACACAACCCCAAAUCAAUACCCCACAUCACAACACAUGAUCUAAUUAAUUGAUCACAUUCUCAUUAGCUACUUAUUGUUGGAUGGUUGAUUGUUUCCAUCGACAGAGACUGAGAGAUGCUCACGUUAAAAAUAUUAGUUGUUAGUAUUAGUGGUUACAACUAACUAUAAUCAGUUAAUUGUAACCAUAAUUAUCUGUUAGCUGUUAAAUGUUAGUACUAAGUAGUAUACUAUAAAUAGACUAUUAAGAUUAAGUAAUUAGAUUAAUGUUUUAGAUUAAAUAAUAUUUAGAUAUAACCAGGCCCAACCAAUGUUGGCCCAUUAAGCUUAGGUCAUGAUAUAAAUAGUUCUUGUAAUAACUUUUACUUUAACUUUUUAAAAUAUCAAAAUACAAAACCCUAUUAGGGUUCCAAACGUCUCAAGCUCCCAUCCGGCGACCCCUCGACUCCGAACCCUAACUGCUCUCGCACACACACACCUCCGAUCUCUCACCUUUUUCAUGGUAUCAGAGCCUCUUGGCGUGCUGUGCUGCUACCGUCGCUGCUAGGGUUUCACUGAUACAAGCCUUCAAGGUUUCCUCUGGUUGCUUCAACUUCGCCGAACGUUCACCAAACACUCUCUGAAUCUUGGCUAGUCUGGUAUAUCUAAACCCUGGCUAGUCUAUGUGUGUUUUGAGUACAUGUUAUAUAUUAUGAAUGUUGUUCAUGCUAGUCGACUUGGAUCUAGAAGAUCCCUUGAUGCAUGUCAUAAUAGGGUUGUUCUUAGACCAUUUCUAAACUCGACAUGCCAUCAACACUAUGAAAAUGUAAUACUGUAUAAUCUUUUAACUGAAUACUGUAGACUCAUGUUUAUAUGUUCUGCAUGUCCUUACAUACUCACUGAUCUAUCUUUAAUGGGGACAAAACCCUAUACAAAGGGGCAGUCCUACUUAGCACUGAUGUUAUAUGCAAAAAUACUAUUACAUGUGUACUGGAAUGUACUAAUCAAAUAUACAUAUAAAUCGAUGCAUGUUAUUUCCAAUGUCAUGAUAAUGGAUACCAUGCUUCAAUGCAUAAUCACAUAUCAUACCUAUCCACUAAUGCAUACUUGUCAUUACUGUUUAGUAUUGUUAAAUAAAUUAAAUACUAUAAUGAUUCUUUUCUCAAACUUAGUCUGUAUGUUACAUAGAGUAAUCCUACAUUCUACACAUGUAUGUUCGUUGACUGUGCAAUGUGAGGUCUAUCUCAUGCUAUGCUUAGUCUUAUACAUUCUUUGUUUUGUUAGCUACAAUUGCAUAGUCAUACUGAAUUACACAUUACUUCCGCUGCUACUCGAUCACAAAAACAAAAGUGGAGUUAUCCCCACUGACAAAGUCAAUCUAUUUGACUCUAAACUAAAUAUACUAUCUUUGAUUCAUUCAAGAUUAGUCAAACUAAUGCAAUUUUACUAUCAUGUGAAAUGCUACAGAACACAUAUCAUGGCUGGAACAGAGAAUUCCCAGGUUGUUCAGGGUGUUGUGCAGAAGAAACCCCUGGGUGGUCCUCUGUUUGACCCCACAUCAAUAUAUUUCUUCAAGUCCACAGACUAUGGACCUCCUUCAAUCAUCAACAUCUUGCAGGGCAGUCAAAACUACUAUCCCUGGAACAGGGAGAUGAUCACAAUGCUGAUCACAAGGAGAAAGUUAGGUUUUGUGAAUGGCACUAUUAAGGAGCCACUAAGCUGUGAUAUAGAGGAACAUGAGGCAUGGGUAACCUGUCAUGGGAUCAUAAGACAAUGGAUAUGGAGCUCUGUCUCCCAGGAGAUAGCUUCACAGAUCAUGUACACAGAUGAUGCUUCUAUCAUAUGGGCUGAUCUUCGAGAUCAGUAUAGGCAAUCAAAUGAAACUCACCUAUUCCAACUGACUCAGGACAUAGCUUUGCUCCAACAGGAGUCUAAUUCUGUAUCCAAGUUCAGUGCUACCCUCAAAACCCUAUGGAGAGAGGUAGAUGCAUAUGGUGAGGUUCCAAGAUGCAGUUGCAUCACUUGUACAUGCAAUGUCAAUGGCAGGAUUAAUGAAAGGGAAGAAAGGCUCAAAGUUAGGAAGUUUCUGAUGGGCUUGAAUGACAGUUACAAGCAAAUAAGGUCAACCAUACUGUCUAUGGAUAAGCUGCCUAACUUUGGAAAGGUAUUCUCUAUGGUCAUCCAUGAGGAAGCUCAGCAGCAAUUAACCAGCAAUACCAAUAACCAAGGCUCAGCCUUCUAUUCAGUCAAGGGAAAAGCACCCUACCAACCAACCAAACCAACUGAUACUCCUUCCUCAUCUACACAAAGAAAAAGACCACCUACACCUACUGAACCCUUAUACUAUAGGAGUGGUAAACAGGUAAAUACAAGGUACUAUUGUUUCUACUGUGCUGCCUUUGGGCACAGUGAUGAGAAGUGCUUCAACCAACAUGGGUAUCCUUCUAGGAACACCUCCUCUGUUGCAAAGCCAAAACCUGUUACACCUACUCCUACUGUGGUCAACAAGGCACAGGGUUCAGCCAAUUGUGCACACUCUGAACAAACCUGGUCUGCUUGGGACAGUGAUGAAAAGAAAGCUGAAUCUCCAGACAACCCAAUUGGACCAUAUGGAUUUCCAUUAUAUUCAGAGAAGUACAAUCCAAGGCCCCUGCCCAAGCGCAGAGAUUCAGGUAAUGCUAAUAAUGUUCUUUUAAAUUCCAUUAACACAUACUGGAUUGUUGACUCAGGUGCAUCAGAACACCUGAGUGGCAAUAAGUCCCUGUUUCUAAAACUCACGAAAUGUGAUUCAUUUAAGAUCUCACUGCCCAAUGGGGACAGUCAGAUAGUGUCUCAAAAGGGUGAUAUUAAAGUUUCAUCUGAUAUCACACUAAAGGAUGUGUACUAUACCCCAUCCUUCCAAGUUAAUUUGCUAUCAAUUAGCAAAUUAACACAAUAUGAUACUUAUGCAGUUCAAUUCUCUAAAUCUUGUGCCCUUAUAUUUGACAAGGUUCAGAUGAAGGAAGUUGGUCUGAGUAAAAUGAAGAAAGGGUUGUACCUUCUACCACAAACCAGUGGUAGAAAUUGUUUUGCAGGUGCCAUCACUACAACAACAUGGCACAGACGAUUGGGUCACACUUCAAGUGACAAACUUAAAAACAUUUUGAACAAUACUUUAGACUUUAAAAACUUUACUUCUGUUGAACACUGUGAUAUUUGCCAUCUAUCUAAACAAUCUAGGAAAUCAUUUCCAUUACAUGCUUCUAGAACUAAACAUGCAUUUGAGUUACUUCACAUGGAUGUGUGGGGGAACUUUCACACUCCAACAAUCCAUGGGAAGAAAUAUUUUUUAACUGUGGUUGAUGAUUAUACCAGGUACACCUGGACAUACUUAAUUACUGUGAAGUCUGAGUGUUUCAGUAUUUUCAGAAACUUGCAUGCCCUUAUCAAGAAUCAAUUUGGUAAGUCUAUUAAGGCUAUAAGGACUGAUAAUGGUGGAGAAUUCUUCUCCUCAUCAAUGGAUGAAUUCCUCAAAGCCAAUGGAAUCAUCCAUUAUUCUAGUUGCCCACACACACCACAACAGAAUGGUGUGGUUGAGAGGAAACACCAACACCUCUUGAAUGUAGCUAGAUCCUUAAAGCUUCAAUCCUCAAUACCAAUUGAGUUAUGGGGAUACUCAAUAAUUCAGGCCACCCACAUUAUCAAUAUGUUACCAUCCAGGGUGACUGAAGAUAAAUCUCCUUAUGAGCUCAUGCAUUCCAAGCAACCUGACUAUGAAGGUCUGAGGACCUUUGGUUGCCUAUGUUAUGCAACUUGUCUUGUAAAAGAAGACAAGUUCUCCCCCAGAGCAAGAAAGUGCAUAUACUUAGGGAAAUCCUCAACCCAAAAGGGUUCUAUCAUAUAUGAGUUAGACACCCAUCACAUCUCAAUAAGUAGAGAUGUGAUCUUUUAUGAAGAUAGGUUUCCCUUAGAUAAGAAAAUUGAUACAUCUGAAAACAAAUCAAAUGAUCAAAUAACAAACAAAAACCAAAGCAAAGGUCAAUUGAAUGACACUGAUCUCUCUGAGACAGACCAAAUCGACUCAAUCUCAGAUGAGUCUGACACAAAUUCAACAACAUCAAAUACUGAACACUCAGAUCUAACAGGGGUGAAUGAUGUACCAACAAUACUCCAAAAUUCAGAAAAAAAUCAAACACAGAACCAAAGAUAUCCAAGUAGACAGAGAAAACCACCAACUAAAUUAAAUGAUUAUUUCUGUUCAUUUGCCACAAGCACAGGAAAAUCUACAGGCACAUCUUUUCCAAUGCAUGAUUACUUAACAUACAAAAGACUGUCUACCUCUCACACUGAUUAUUUAGACAAAAUUUCUAUCACAACUGAACCAACAUCCUUCAAUCAAGCAAGUCAAAGUCAGGAAUGGGUAAAAGCCAUGAAUGAUGAACUUGCAGCUCUUGAAUUAAAUGACACUUGGGAAAUAGUACCAAGGCCAAAAGAAAGGAAAAUAGUAGGAUCUAGGUGGGUAUAUAAAGUCAAACACAAGUCUGAUGGCCAAAUUGAAAGGUUAAAAGCCAGGCUUGUAGCAAAAGGGCACACUCAAAUAGAAGGCUUUGAUUACAAGGAAACCUUUUCACCAGUGGCAAAGAUCAUCUCUGUUAGGACACUGCUGGCAGUAGCCUCAACCAAAAACUGGUCUACAUAUCAGAUGGAUGUAAGUAAUGCCUUCUUACAUGGUGAAUUAUCUGAAGAAAUAUUUAUGUCUCCACCUCCAGGAAUGCUACCCCCAGGUGACACCAGGGUAUGCAAACUAAAGAAGUCUUUAUAUGGCCUGAAACAGGCAAACAGGAAUUGGUAUGAAAAACUCACCUCAGCACUGACUAAGUUUGGGUACACCCAAUCUCACUCUGACUACACAUUAUUCUUUAAGUCAUCUACAAAUUCAUACACUUGUCUACUUAUUUAUGUGGAUGAUCUAAUUAUAUCAGGUGAUAAUGAAGCUGAAAUUCAAAAACUAAAGGAAUACCUACAUCUACAAUUCCAUAUAAAGGAUUUGGGUAAACUCAAAUACUUUCUAGGAAUUGAGGUAUCCCAAUCAAACCAAGGUAUAUUCCUGUCACAAAGGAAAUAUGCCCUUGAUAUACUACAUGAUUUUGGACAAUUGGGAUCUUCUCCAUCUAAAAUUCCAAUGUCCCACAACUACAAAAAUCCUGAGAGGGAUGCCCCAUUAAAGGAUCCUUCAGUUUACAGGAAGCUAAUUGGGAAAUUGUUGUAUUUGACAAUCACAAGGCCUGAUAUAGCUUUUUCAGUUAGUCAUCAUAGCCAAUUCUUGGCAGCACCUAAACAAUCACAUUUUAACUCAGCAAUCAAAAUACUGAAAUAUAUCAAAGGUGCACCAGGGAAAGGUAUCUUAUACAGAAAAGAUGCACCUCUACAACUAGAGGCCUACUGUGAUGCAGAUUGGGCAGACUGCCCCAACACAAGAAGAUCAAUAACAGGCUACACAAUCUUAUUAGGUGGAUCUGCUAUAGCCUGGAAAUCAAAAAAACAAACAACUAUCAGUAGAUCAUCUGCUGAGAGUGAAUACAGGGCUAUGGCAUCAACUGUAUGUGAAAUUAUGUGGUUGCAUUAUUUUUUGAAUGAUCUGCAGGUAAAACCAUCAAGACAGACAACACUACAUUGUGAUAAUAUGGCAGCAAUUCACAUUGCAACAAACCCAGUUUUUCAUGAACGCACAAAGCAUAUAGAGAUUGACUGUCAUCUAAUUCGUGAUCAUUUACAAGCUGGACUAUUUAAACUACAGCAUGUUUCAUCAACAUCUCAAAUUGCAGAUAUAUUAACAAAGCCGGCAAGUCUUGAAGCUCUAAGAAAUCUGCUGCCCAAGCUGGGACUCUAUGACAUACACUCUCCAGCUUGAGGGGGUAUUAAGAUUAAGUAAUUAGAUUAAUGUUUUAGAUUAAAUAAUAUUUAGAUAUAACCAGGCCCAACCAAUGUUGGCCCAUUAAGCUUAGGUCAUGAUAUAAAUAGUUCUUGUAAUAACUUUUACUUUAACUUUUUAAAAUAUCAAAAUACAAAACCCUAUUAGGGUUCCAAACGUCUCAAGCUCCCAUCCGGCGACCCCUCGACUCCGAACCCUAACUGCUCUCGCACACACACACCUCCGAUCUCUCACCUUCUUCAAAGGGCUAUUUGAUAUUUUUUUUUUUUUUGGAUUUCCUCUUUUUUCAGUACCCAGUUCCGUCCAAAAAGGAGACGCAAGGAAGGACUCAUGUCUAUGUUGGUAACUGGAUGAAAUCCAAACCUCGUGAAAAGGUAAAUAUAUAAUUGCAAUUUUACAAUUAUGAAAUCUCAAACCAACCAUUCUGAUUUUGACAACAACUAUUUUGUUAGCGAUUUCCAAAAUAUUUUCAAACCCGAAAUAAUCUUACUCCACUUUACUCAAGAAUAAGAAAUUUGUUUAAUAGGUCGUUUUGGCUACAAAAGUUGCUGGUUGUUCAGAAAGUAUGAACUAUCUCCGUGAUGAUGGAAAGAAACUUCGAGUUGAUGCUUCUAAUGUAAAGGAAAGUGUAGAAAAAAGCCUCAAGCGUCUCGAUACUGACUAUAUCGAUUUGCUACAAAUACAUUGGUACGUUAGUCGGAUAUUAAUUUAUUAAUCACCAAUUCAUUUUUAUCCUAUCAUAGUCGAAUAAAUACUUGCUUGCUUCUCAGACCAGACCGCUAUGUACCAUUAUUUGGUGAAUAUCUUUAUGAUUCUUCGAAAUGGCGAGAUAGUGUGCCUUUUGUCGAACAACUCCAGGCAUUUCAAAAACUUAUCGAUGAAGGCAAGGUGAGUGAAAUCUGCAAGCAAAUGCUUUUCUUGAUUAGUUUCUGUCAAAUUAUUUCAUUAGAUGAUUUGGGUCUCUAUUUACCAUGAUGAUGAAUCACGGAAUGUCUUACCAGUGCUCGCGGUGGUGUGAGGCGUGUCGGAGAUCCACGACGCGCGCUCUACAUCAAGUCUUCUGAGAGAAAUCAGCGAUUUGCUCCGUGUAAUACGCUUUAGAAAGGGUAGAACUGAUGCCUUUGGAGUAAGCCCGAUACCCCCUUUUACAAGGUCUCUAAGCGUAAUCCGCGGCGGUGAACACGUCUGGCCAUAAUGGCGCGGACUGACGCCGAGUAACAGUCCGACAUCGACGAUUUGGGGGGAAUCAGCGAUUUAGUGGUAGGGUCGACGAGUUUAAAGGGACAAUAUCGACAGUUUGUCAGACUCUGGCGAUCUUGGCCUCAACUCGACGAUUUGCCACUCAACUCGACGAUUUGGCAGACCAAAUCGACGAUCCACAGAGUUGAUUCGGCGAUUUGACGAAGACUUUAUUUCCGUGCUUGUGGAAGCCUUCCGAGGGUCCGUUAUAUAACGAAUGAAACCCUAAUCCCUGUUGACGGGAGUGACUGUUGUACAGUCAUGUGUCAGCAGUACUCCCCUUAAGAAGGGUAUGUGACAAAGCGUGUACCGUCAGUAUCUCCCUAAGCAGGGUUAAAUGAAUCAUUCCGGCCAUAACGAUAGAAUGAUUCUUGAUCCAUUCCGGCCAUAGUCACAUAAUGGAUUUGAUUUCGGACAUAGCGACAUAAUCUAGUUCUAACCAUAACCAUAGAGCUACGAUAUUUGAUCAACUCUAACCAUAACGACAGAGUGAUCUUUCGAUCCACAACAACGGAUAAUCCAUUCCGGCUAUAGCGCCUGAAGUGUUGUCGCCAAAUAUGUAUUAAACUGACGACCAGGCCGUCGGUAAGAAUUUAUUGAUUUCGAUUAUUGAUAAAAUAAGACUGACGGCUUGACCGUCGGUAUAAAUUUCGCGGCAGAAAAAAAUUACUCUGGGAAAAAUUACUGGCGGUCUAGCCUCCAGAAUUUUUUUUAUUAAAAAAAUUAAUUUUUAUUAAUUAAUUAAUUAUGAAAUAUUUAUUUUUUAUUAGAAAUUGUAUGAAAUGAAAAUUGAAAUCGUAAGUAAAUGAAAUAUUCGAUGAUUAAAAUCAUUUGCAACAAAAUGAAAUACAUAGUUUUUUUAAAUAGUCGCUAACUAUCUUAAUUUUUAUUUUGUCGUUGUUGUUCUUUUUCUUUUUAAAUACGUGUUUUGAUAGUUCAUUUCUUAAAAAAAUUAUUGGUCGUUCGCGACGUUGUGGAGUCUGCUCUACUGGUUGCAUCGUUGGUUGGGGAAGAGUCUGUUGUAGUAUUGGUGCUCGUGACGUCGACGUUUCAAAUGAAUAAAUAUUGUACCCGCCCAUUUAGGUUGCGUCAUCAUCCGAAAGUUGGGUGUUUGCGAAAAUUUCAAUUUCAAACAUGCAAAUUAUAUUAACUAAUUAAUAACUAUCAUAGGAUAUAAUUUAAAAUAAAUAAAAAUAUUACCUUGAUCGAUAGAUCCGCAAAUCCUAAAUUCACCAAUCCUCAAAUCUUACAAAAUAUAUCAACAAAUAUAACACAUAACAAAUCACAAACGAUUAGCACAUAGAACACAUAAUAUAUCACACGGGCGACGGGGAGAUAUCCGACGGAGAAAACACUUCAACGGCGGUGAAGACAAUUUCAACCUAUAAUAAAUAUUAAAAAUAGUAAAUAAUUAAAAAUUAAAAACAAUUCAACCUAAUUCGACCCUAAAUUAAAAACAAUAAAUACAAAUAAAAACUAAAUCCUAAACAAUUUUAACAGUAAAAUACUAAUUAUAAACAUUAAAUAGUUAAUUUUAACCCCAAAAACAGUAAAUACCAAACCUUAAAAAUACUAAUUUUAACAAAACAAUAAAAUAAAAAUAAACUGUUGGUGAUACAGUAUCCUGAACUCGGUUACAACACACCAUCAACCAGAGAUUCAGAUAACCCAAGAUGAAUUGAAGUACCCAUAUAGGUUUCGACCUUUUCCAAUUCGACUUUUUCAUAGUUCAACUUUGUCAGAAGUCGAACGGGGGAAAGUCGAGCUUUAGAAAAGUCGAUCUUAGAAUGUCGACUUGAAACCAAACCUAGACGGUUACGGCCCAAAUGACCAAAUUACCUCCAUAAAAAAUCCUAUAAAUAGAGGACACCUCAUUCAUUUGGGUAAGGCAUUCGGAGUGAGAAGAAUCCUAGCGAAGCAGAGUUCUGAGCAACUGAAAUUCGGUCCGAUUUUCCUGCGGAGUUCCCCGCCUGACGCUUGUUCGAAACGUCGUCGAACACUGAUUGAGUUUUACCCUCAUCAUUUGGCGUCGACUGUGAUUCAAAGAUACUCAUGACAAAAGUUCUUCAACUUUUUCAAGUCGUCAACCAAGCAGCCUUGCUCAGAGAUCACUUCCCAAGAGCUCGACUUUCUUAAAAAAAAGGUCGACUUUCAUAAAAAAAGGGUUCGACUUUUUUCAAAAUCCUCAUAAGUCGACUGCCUCGUUAGUUGAACUUUCAUUUGAAAUCGACUUUUUUUAGACUUAGAGUUCGACUUUUUUCAAAAAUUCAGCGUUCUCAGCCCCCAAGCAAAGCCUCUUCCAGGAAUCGGCUUUUUGCACAAAUCGACUUUUUUUUCAGGUUCCAACUCGACUUUUUGCACAAGUCGACUUUUUUAGGUUCCAACUCAACUUUUUUCAGGACACAGCUUGACUUUUUUCAAAAAGUCGAAUACUUCAGGUCAAAAUUCGACUACCUUGAAGAAGUGCAGAAAUGGUGACUACAAGAAGCAAUUCCCACACAGAGGGAGAAUCCCAACAAGCCCAGUCUGCAAAAAAUCCUACAACCAGAAGAGCCGUAGGACGAGCAAGAAAAUACGGAGCUUGAACAAGUAUAGCAAACAUCUGCAGGGGCAGAUAACCAGAAUAUCGUGCUGCAAGCGGUGGCUCAUGCCAAAACUCAGGCCAUGACCCAACAAAUACCGCUUCAGCAAGCACAACAUCCACCACAACAGGCACUGCAGCAAGUCCCUACACAGGUGAUCCCGAAUAAUCAAAAUCCAAUCGAUACGACAACCACAUCUGAAAGUCUCCGCUCUAUGGCACAUAUCCCCUUAGAAGAACUGGUAAGCAUGAAAGAAACAAUAGCCAGGAUGAAUGAAAGGCUAAAACCAAUUGAAAAUUCAACAAUAACAAUACGCUGUUUGAGGGCGCAAAACUCAUAGCAGCCCGCAAGCCAACACCAGCAAACCAGGCAGAGGUCUCAAGCUUACGCGUAGUGCACUCAAGUUCAUUACCACCGCGAGUGCCAUCAAGAGACAAGCUAUUGGAGGUUUUAUCGUCGACAUGACCCAAGAGAGUGAGGAAACACCUUGGAUAGUAGAAGUCGAUGGAUCAAGCUACAGCACCAGUGUGGGAGUUGGGGUCAAGAUAAUCACUCUCGAUCAAAGGAUAUAUGAGCAUUCAACCAGAUUAUUGUUCUCUCACACAAACAACAUAGCAGAAUAUGAAGCUGUGAUCCAGGGUAUGAGAAUAGUCAAGAGAUUGGAAGCUUGUUCGGUAAUUAUCAAAACAGACUCUCAGUUGAUAGCACAACAGUCUAUAGGGGAGUUCGUAGUUAAAGAACCACAGAUUGUACAGUAUGUUUCCACACUCGAGAAGAUGAAAUUUCAGUUUGACAAAGUAGAGAUAGAACAAGUCCCAAUAAGUCAGAACAUCUCGGUCGACGUCCUGGUAAAGCUCGUGUUCGCUUUUGAGGGGGGACAAAGAGAGAUACUGGUUGACUCAGUCUCUACACCCUCAUGCAAUCUAGUCACAGUUCAAGCAAAGGACUGGAUGUUACCCUUGAUAGAAUAUUUUAAAAGGCAGAAACUUCCAGAGGACGGCAGCCCUCCUACUGUCUCUAGGACGGCAGCGGAGGAUGUAACUCGAGUGUUCUUUUUAACAUGUAUCAUGGAGGCGGAAAGAGUCGAAUCUGACUCGACUUAGUAAUGAGUAGAAAGACUCUAAGGUUUCGCUAAGAAACCUUGAAUGAGAGCGAAGAACAAGAGUUGAUAAAGUCACAAAAAAAAUUUGACAAGAAAUCGGCGAUUUCUUAUGUAAAUUCGUUGAUUUCCUAUGAAAUUCAACCGGAUCUUAACAAAGAAGAAUCUGCUAUUUCCUCAGAAAUUCAACCGGGUCUACUCAAAGAAAAAUUUGUGAUUUUGUUGGGAAAUCGGCGAUUCGAUUUUCCCACAGACGGCGCCAGCCAUGAUUCCGGAUGCGUCUCUACGCGAUGCGCCACCACCUGGAGCACUCGCUAGUGACAUUUUCGUAAAUAUAUAUAUAACUAAAUGAAAUUCAUAUAUUUUUUAAAUAUCAAUCCUAAAAUAUAGGCAUGCCAAUAAAAUAAUCAAUUAAAUUUUUUAGUUAAAAAUAUAUUGAAUAGAAAAAUUAUUAUAAUACAUAUAUUUAUUAAUUAUUAUAACACUAUAAAAAUCUAUAAUUCAUUGUAACACUAUAAUUUAUUUAACACAUGUACACUUUAUUUAGUCUCACAUUGAUAGAAUUUAAAAAGUAAAUAUAACACUAUAAUUUAUUUAAUACAUGUACACUUUAUUUAGUCUCACAUUGAUAAAAUUCAAAAAGUAUAAAGAAUACUUUAUAAUUUAUUUAACUAUACUUUUUUAGUCUUACAUCGAUAGAAUACAAAAAACACAAAAAAGUUUGGUCUAUAAAUAAAGAUUCAUUUUGUUUAAAACAAAUAUGAAGUCCUAAGAUUAGGAGGACUGGAGGAGCAUAUAUUAAAAAUAAUAUAGUUUUUUUCAUGGACCAAUUUAUAAAUUUUUGGUCUUAAAAUAAAUUUUUUUUGGCUUGUUUUUUUUUAAUUCAGGACUGGAUUCGGGUCGCAUAUGCACGCGCAUCCGGAACCAUGGUGUCAGCUGAUGAAGCACGGAAUGUCUUACCAGUUCUCACGGUGGUGUGAGGCGUGCCGAAGGUUUGGAGAUCCACGACGCGCGUUCUACGUCAAGUCUUCCGGGAGAAAUCGCCGAUUUCAGUAUGAGAACCCAUUGCGUGCGAUUCGCGAUUCCGAUUUCGUGGAAUCGCGAUGUCGUGAGGUUCGCGAUGUGGACCUCACGCAUCACGCCGAUGAGUGUGUCAUCGUACUGUGUCUACAGUGAUCCGUGCUUAGAUUGCCCAUCAUGCUAUGCAUAGACAGCCAAGUGGAUACGAGCCAUGAUGUGGGGAUGCAAUAAAAAUACAUUCGGAACCUCAUGACUUGAAAUUCACAUCCGUAGGAUAGACAUUCGGCAUACGUACCUCACGGAGGACGCUGGUGCGGAGUGUUGUUCAGGAAAGUGAGUGUGUAAAUAUAUGUAUAAUAUAUUUACAGUUUCAAGUGUGGUUUGCCUCACCUAUCGUUGGAUGGAUCGUAAUCAUAAUCCAACGACGUGAGGAACCGUAUCUCGCCGCUGUCGUGAACCACAGUGAAGUAGACGAGCGGUAGGAUCUCGUCAGCGCACCUAACUGCGCUGUCCGAGAACAACACCCAUCCAAUUUACACAUAUCAAAUGUGGUUUUCUAUAUAUUCAAUUUAAUAUGUGGUUUAGUUUUAAUAGAUGUCACCCAUCGUCAACCAGAUUUACCAUUGUUCGUAUAGGUACACAUUGCUAUAUAGGUGUUUCAAAUGAAACCUCCUAUGGAGUGAUGGAGUUUAUUCAAGCUGCAAAGAUGGAAGGGUUGCCUAAGAUUGUUAGCAUCCAGAAUGUCUAUAGUUUAAUAGCUCGAUCUCGUUUUGAAGGUGCAUUUCACUCAACUUCAUGACUUUUAUUUAUUUUUAUACUCAAGAAAUUAAACUUUUGUUUUCCGAUAAGCACGGCAAAAGGGUAAAAAUCUCACUGAUGAUAUUGUUAAGUAAAAAUAAUGUUAUAUUUGAAGUGGAUUUCUGAAUCAGUAUUUAAAUUUGUGUGUAUUUAUUUAUAGUUGAUCUGGUUGAGAUAUGCCAUCCAAACAACAAUGACAUCGGAUUGCUUGCAUAUUCUCCACUUGCUGGAGGUUCUCUAAGUGGAAAAUACCUUGGCCCUGAAACUGAAGCAUCAAAGAAAGGCAGGUUCAAAAUCUUUCCAGGUUAUAUGGAAAGAUACAAUAAGUCCAGGUUCUCUUUCAAGGGUAAGUAAGCACUUACAAUUUAUGCAAUGCAAAUGCCUAAUCUUAUUGUUAUUAAAUUGGAUGUGUUUUUACAUGAAUUCUAUUAGGUUUUUGUCUACGGUUGGGUGUGAUCUCUGCCGUGGAUUAAGCCCCCAGAGGUCCUAUAAAAGAGGACCCCUGGUUCAAUCCAAAUGCAUCAAUUCCAUCCUUUCUAGAGCGUGAAUCACGGAAAAAUCGUCGAUUUGAGCUCCAAAUCGCCCAAUUCCUUCCGAAAGACUUGAUGUAGAGCGUUCGUCGUGGAUAUCAGAUCCUCCGGCAAGAGAAGGUAGCCGCUCGCACUACCGUGAGCGCUGGUAGGAUAUUUCGUUUCUUAUCAACAAGCAUGUACCAAAUAUAAAGAUUUUAUAUGGAAUAAUACAAAUGUUACAAAUGAUCUGUUUGUGUCUACAUCUUUUAAAUAGGGUAAUAAACAUAAAUGUUGGAGAUUGCCAAUGGAGGAGGAGAUGAAGAUCACAAUCAGAAAGAAUGAUACAUGUGUAUUUGUGAAGAAAGAAGAUCGUGUUCCAAGAUUAUCAGAGAGAAUGAGACCAGUAAAUGGGUAUACAAGAUUAAAAGGAGAUCAGAUGAACCAAUGGAGAGAUGAAAAGCUAGGUUGGUAGCAUAGGGCUACAAUCAAGAACAAGGGAUAAAUUUUCAGUAUACAUAUAAUCCUGUGGUAAAAUCGUGUUCAAGUAUUGUAAAAAGUAUUGUUUCAAUACCAACACUUGAGGGGUUUAUAAGCUAAACCAUAAAGCUUAGGUUGGUUUUAUAAAAUUUUCUAAAAUCUUAAGUUAAUAACCUUAUAUGGGAAUCCAGAAAUACCUAUUCGUAUAUGGGUUAGUUCAAACCAUCCUAUAAAAAUCAUCGGAUAAAAAGAUUCAGGUAUUCAAAUCAGAUCAUCAAUCCAAAUGAAUCCAGCUCUAUCAUGCAUUUUCAGGUUUAUAAUAAAAAAAAUGAGAUAAUGGAUUACCGAUAGAUCAAAUUUAAACCUAUUAGAUAUCUCAUCCGAAGUAUCUAAUGAAAACUGUUUCCUUUUUUUUGAUAAGGUUAAGUGCAUACAUACAUAAAUAAAUAGAAAUUAAAGUAGAUACACUAAGACAGUUAUCAACCGAGCUAAUUAAAUUGUGUAUGAGAAUCGUUUCCCGUAAAAAUAUUAAGCGGAAGAUCAAAAAAUGAUUAUAAUCAGGUACCUAAGAUUCGAGUGUUGUCGCUAGACUGAAGUGCCGCCGCUGGGCUGCCGAUGGGAAGAAGUGAAGUGGUUGCUAGAGUUUUCAUUUUACAAUUUCUUUUUAUAUUAAGAAAUUAGGUUAGUAAAUUUACAAUUUUAAUAUAAAGAAUAAAUAUAGAAUUUAAUUUAUUGUUUUUUUAUAUAAAAUUUUUGUGGGUUGAGUUUUUACUCGAAACGUAAAUUGAUAUAACACGACAUGAAAAUAUACUGUUAUUAAUUAACUAUAUUUAUCGUUUAUAUAAUAAAAAUAAAAUAAUAGUAUGUAGAACCUUUUAAAUUCUAUAUAAAAUAUUAUAUCUAUGUACUAAUAAAAUAAUAAAGGUAAAAUAAUAAUAAUUUAAUAUGGUAAAAUAUUAAAAAAUACCCUUAGAUAAUUAUUAUUAAAAUAACAAUUAUUAAUAAAAUAAUAGUGUCAAAUUUUUUUGACACGGAUGGUGUCGUGUUAGUGAGUUUUUAAAAGUAAGCACUAAACCGAUACUAUUAUUAAUCGUGUCAAAAUUUAAAUGUUAACCCGACACUAUUAUGAAAGUGUCGUAUUCGUGUCUUGUUAAAAUCGUGUUUUGUCGUAUUUUUUUACGAAUUGCGUCUGUUAUUGUCAUCCCUAGUUCAGGUUCGCUUUGAGUUUUACCCUGCCCAAGUUUACUAAUUAAUAAGUUAGAGAAUAGUGAGGAUUGUUUUCUAAAAAAUUUCUGGCAAUAAAUUUAAAGAUCUUUUAAGUUUUAAGAUAAUGAGAGAUCAUCAUUGGAUCUUUAGAGAAAGACAUCUAACUAACUUUUGUUUUAUAUAAUGGGAAAAAAUAUACAUUUUAUAACGGACCACUUUCCAGUUUCCACUACACUCGGUUGAAAAUGGGAAUGUUUAAUAAUCAAGUCAACAAAAUUCAAAACCGUUCUUCCUUCUUCUCCGGGGUCCGAGAACCGAAUCGGUGAUUCGCCGCCUCAGAACUGAGGAAAAAGACCUAUGUGAAUCGGAUUAGGGCGUCACUAUCGAUCUGCUCAUAUACUUCCGUCAUCAACAGCUGUGGAUCUUCACAUUCUUCUGAGUUCGACAGGUAACCGAUAAUGAUUAAAUCUCUACGGAUUUGAUUUUUUUCCCUAUGAUAAUAUAAAUUAAUGAUCCUUUCUCUCAGUUUUUUGCUAGUGUGGAUUUGAUCGAUUAACUCAUCUUACUCUCUGAAUCGGAACAACAUCUGUUGAUCUAUAUAUUUCCUUGUUGCUUGAUAAAUUUUUCAAGGUUUUUUUUUUUCUGGCAAAUUUUUUUUGCUAACUGAUUAAUUCCAUGAAUUAGCCAAAAAUUUCUGUGUUCUAAACUUCCAGGAUCAAAUACUAGAAAAGAUAUGAGCAAUAUCCAGGAGGAUAUUUACACAAAGGAUGGAACAGUAGAUUACAAUGGAAAACCAGCAGUCAGGAGGAAAACAGGCAACUGGAAAGCCUGCCCUUACAUACUCGGUACAACAAUAUCUUCCUCCCAUCGAUCUGCAACUCAUAUUUCCGAUCUGUACACCUCAAUCUAAUCUUGAUUUUCUAUUUCUCUUCUGCAGCAAAUGAGUGCUGUGAAAGAUUAGCUUACUAUGGAAUGGGGACAAAUCUCGUGAACUAUCUCACGGAUCGUCUUAACCAAAGCAAUGCCAUCGCAGCCAAUAACGUCACGAAUUGGACGGGAACAUGUUACAUCAUGCCUUUGUUUGGGGCUUUCGUAGCAGAUGCCUACCUUGGACGAUACUGGACGAUAUCUACCUUCAUGAUAAUCUAUAUUCUUGUAAUAUUCGUUUCGAUUUGUUUGCUUGGUUGAUUGUAUCGGUUAUAUUUUUCAUUGUUUUUUGUUUGUUUUGUUGAAUGCAGGGUUUGUUUCUGCUAACCAUCUCGGCAUCAGUCCACGGACUGAAACCAUCUUGUUCGAAUGAUGUCUGUCAACCAACCCACUCUCAAACUGCGACUUUCUUCGUAGCACUCUAUAUGAUCGCUCUUGGUACUGGUGGAAUCAAACCUUGUGUUUCUUCCUUUGGUGCCGACCAAUUUGAUGAAAAUGAUGAAUUUGAGAAGAAGAGCAAGAGCUCAUUCUUCAACUGGUUUUAUUUCACGAUAAACAUCGGGGCUCUCAUUGCUUCCUCUGUGCUGGUUUGGAUACAAAUGAAUGUUGGAUGGGGAUGGGGUUUUGGUAUUCCUGCAGUAGCGAUGCUAAUUGCUGUUAUUAGUUUCUUCUUUGGAACUUAUCUCUAUCGGAACCAGAAACCAGGUGGUAGCCCCUUAACAAGAAUUGUGCAGGUUCUAGUUGCUUCUUUUAAAAAAUUUGGAACGAAGGUGCCAGAGGAUAAGAUGCUUCUCUACGAGAUUACAGAUAAGCCUGUCAUACAAGGGAGUAGGAGGCUUAAACAUACAGAUCAGUUCAGGUAACCAUCAUCAAUUUAAUUGAUUUUGAGUAAAUUUUGAAUUGUAUAAAUAUUGUCGUUUAAUUGCCAAAUAGUUUCUUGGAUAAAGCUGCAAUUCGACCAGAAGAAGAUGAUUUAUCCAAAAGUUCAGUGAGCCCAUGGAAGCUAUGCACUGUGACACAGGUAGAGGAGUUAAAGGCCAUUGUUCGUCUCCUCCCCAUAUGGGCAAGUGGCAUAGUCUUUGCAACUGUCUACAGCCAGAUGACCACAAUGUUUGUUCUUCAAGGGAACACCCUCGACCCUCGCAUAGGUGUGGGGUUCAAGAUCCCUUCAGCAUCACUUUCAAUCUUUGACACCAUAAGUGUCAUCUUGUGGGUUCCGAUCUAUGAUCGUUUGAUUGUCCCAAUUGCUCGCAAAGUCACCGGAAAUGAACGUGGAUUCACCCAAUUAACACGAAUGGGGAUCGGACUAGUAAUUUCCAUCUUUGCUAUGUUAUCUGCUGGAAUCUUGGAACUGAUAAGACUUAACAUGGUAAAUAAACACAACCUCUACAACGCCGAUCAUGUACCAAUGUCCAUCUUUUGGCAAGUGCCACAGUACUUCAUCGUCGGAGCAGCAGAGGUAUUUACCUUUAUAGGCCAACUUGAAUUCUUCUACGACCAAGCGCCUGAUGCCAUGAGGAGCAUGUGCUCGGCUCUUUCCCUGACAACGAUUUCUCUUGGUAAUUAUCUCAGCACACUUCUGGUUACACUUGUUACUCACAUUACGACGAAAAAUGGGCAGCCAGGGUGGAUUCCGGAUAAUCUGAAUUACGGGAAACUUGAUUAUUUCUUCUAUCUCCUUGCAGUUUUAAGUUUUAUCAACUUCUUGUUCUAUCUUGUUAUAUCAAGAUGGUAUACAUAUAAAAAUACAGACGAUAAGGAGUGAAGCCUUUUAUUUACUACAAUAAAUAUGUUUAUUUAGAAUCUUAGAAGUCUUUUAUUUACUACAAUAAUUUUGAAAGUCUGAAAUCCCCCCCUGUUUUAGUUUUACCUUAUGAGUUGUAACUGUAUUCACUAUUCAGUUCAAGCUGGUCUGCUUUGAGCUGUUGCGGAGUAGAGCUACAAGAGGGAUCAUCUAUAUGAGUUUUAUAAGGAAAAAGAAUCAAAUACAACAGUUUUCUACUUGUUCUUGUUGUAGAAAUCUAGAAUAUCUACUGAAGGCUAUUAAAUCUAAACCAAACUAAGCAAAGUGAUGAAACAGGAGAAUAUAAUUUGAUUAAUCUAUAAAAGAGAUAUGUAAACAUAAAUGACAGAAUCGAAAAUUAAUCAGAAAAUACAAAGAGUUUAGAAGACUCUUGACUAUGUUCCAAAUUAGGAGGCCCGAACCCAACGCAAGAAGGCCUGGUCACACCAGACAAGUUGGAACGGCCCGUCCGCCUUAUGUCCCAUACACCACCCCGCCUGGGUGACCCGUGAACAGAUGGACCGCAUGAUGCCGCGAAAUAGAACCCUAGAGGGUCCACGAAGUCUAGACCUGCCAGGUAGGCUAUAAAUAGGACCAUAGGGUGUUUUAGCAAGGGAUCGAUGGGUCAUAAUGAUGUAAUACGAUAUGACCAUGGAUUAAUUACUAUUCAUGUAGAAAAAUAACAGCCACUGCAUGUUUGAAAGUAAACGUAAAUUUCUACAAAAUAGUAGACGGUCGGGGUGUAAAUGGUUCUGGGUCUGGGGCUAAUUUUAGCCCUAUUAAGCAUUUUGGACCUGUUUUUUUAGAUAUUCCCACUUUAAGUUUGAAAACGUGAAAAGAGACUACUACCCCCUAUAGCCCUAGGAUCAAAAUCCAACAAGUGGUAUCAGAGUCAAGUACCAAAAAAGUCAGAGAAACACUUGCUUUCAGAACUAUGGAGAAAAAUAGAGAUGAAGGAUUAGCCACCAACAAACCCCUUACAUUCGAUGGAAAAAUAAAUUAUCUUUUUUCUUAAGACCCUUCCUGUCAUAGAGGAACCAUAUUCAAUCCCAACCACUAAUCAAAUAUAGAAAAGAAAAAGGAUAUAAAUUGAACACUAAUCACAGGAAUUGAAGUAAUGAAAUAGAAAUUGCAAUGGUAAAAAUUAAAUUAGAAAAUCACUUCAAAUUAAAAGAUUUAGGUCUACUAAAAUAUUUUCUUGGUAUAGAGGGUAUCAAGUUUAAAUGAAGGGAGAUAUUUUUAUCCCAUAGAAAAUAUAUAUACUUUAGGAAUUAAUACUUGAAGAAAGUGGUCUAUUUGGAGUAAAACCCUCCAAGCUAGAUACCCAAGGAAAGGCUAAGAAAUGAUAAAACAAAACCAAUAUAUGAUCCUACAUUUUACAUAAAAAUUGUAGGAAAACUAAUAUAUAUAUUUACAACCUGAAACCAAUACGGUUGCCCACACCCAGUGGCGUAUCCAGGGGAGGGCAAGGGAGGGCAAUUGCCCCCCCUAAAAUUUGGAAAUUUUUGAAGGACCUAUAUGUAAUUAAAUUUUUUAUAGGGGGUUUAGUAUAAUUUUCACAAUAUAUUAAUAUUUUUAAGGGUUAAUAUAUAAAUUUCACAAUAUUUAUAUAUUAUAUAAAUUUCUUUCCCCCAAUCUUCUUCCCCAAAACUAUCGAUUUCUCCUCCUCCUCUUUCAAUUUCUUCCCCAAUCUCUCCUCCUCCCAACUCGCAUGACCCAUCCACCUCACGAUUUCUCCCUCCGUUGCUUUCUAUAUAAGUUGUUUCUAGUACACAAGGAGUCCAAGAUCAAUAACAUACCCCCAAACAGUUGAUGGGUCCUUCAAAAACUGGAUACGCCACUGAUCUUUGGUAUUCUAAAAUUAUUGUUUAAUAUUGAUUUUUGAUGUUAUAUUGCAAGUUAGUUUAUCAAGCUUCGAUCUUUAGUUUUGCAAAAUAGGAUUCGAGCUAAAUCUUAUUCUCACUUGGCGAGCUGAGUCCGAGCUUAGCUUUACUUGAUUCGAUUUGUUAAACACACUACGGAUGAACGAGACUAAAAUUGUUGGAGCUUUAUUCGGUGAGCUUGAAUUAAUUUUAAGUUCUACUACACUAUUUUAAUAUCUUGACAUAUAUAUAGGAGAGAUCUUCGGCAAAAAAAAUUUUUCGCCUUCGGCGAAUCUUGCCCCCCCUGCCGGGGAAUCCUGGAUACGCCACUGAUUGGAGGCGACCGCAAUUACGUGAAGUGUCUAAAAUCAACUAAAUUUGUUCGUAAUGAAGUGCUUCAGUAUGAGAAUACGAGGAAGGCUAAAGCAAUGGCAAUGAAAAUGUCUAAGAAAGUUGUGGAAGAAGAAUCUAGUGAUGAUGAUGAUGUAUUGAUAGUUGAAGAUAAUUCUGCACUUCCGAAGAGAGCAAAGAAACGGUCAACUAUUGUGAAGCUGUCAAUAGGUUCAUCAUCAGAUUCGAACCGUUCGAUCAACGCGGCCAUAGGUGCAUUGUCCUUGAAAGAAGGACAGAAAUUAAGUGACAUUGUGAGAUCUAGAAUGGGAGCAAAACAACCACUAAUUGUUGAGCAGUUGAAAAAAGAGGAAAGACUUAUUGUUGAUAUCUGUGUGGCGAAAUUCUUUUACAACGCCGGCAUCCCUUUCAAUGUACGAGAUUGUUUCGAUUUCCACGUUAUGUUGGAAGCUGUUGGAAGGUAUGGUUGGGGUUAUACACCUCCAACUAUCAGUAGAUUACGCGGCUCUCUUCUAGAAGGUGUGGUUACAGAAAUUGAUGAAAUGAAGAAAGACCACGAAAAAUGUUGACGUCUAUCUGGUUGUUCUCUCAUGUCUGAUGGCUGGACGAAUAAGAGGGGAAGAUCAAUUAUCAACUUUAUAGUGAAUUCAAGCAAGGGUUCAUUCUAUUUAUACUCUAUUGACGCUUCUGCCGAAACGAAAACUGCCGAUUACAUUGCAUCUACCUUAGAUAAAGCGAUGCAAAGGAUAGGAGUCAAAAAUGUUGUUCAAAUUUGUACAGAUAAUGCGAGCAACUACGUUAAAGCUGGGGAGAAACUAAUGGAGAAAUAUGAUCAUUUGUAUUCGACCCCUUGUGUCACCCACUGUAUUGAUUUGAUGUUAGAAGACAUUGGGAAGAUUAGCUCUCUGAAGAAUGCUAUUGUGAUGGGUCGUAAGAUCACAAACUACAUUUACAAUCAUUCAGUGAUACAUUGCGAGUUUUUAAAAAAGUCUAACAAAAGAGAGCUAGUCCGUUGUGGGGUUACUCGAUUUGCUACAUCAUUUCUCACCUUACAGAGCAUUAAGAAACAUCGAGAUGCCUUAAGUGCAUUAGAUUGGCGUAAAUGGAUUGAUGUUGGGAUUGGACAACAGAUUCAUGGUCAUAUCUUCAACAGUAUUUUUUGGAAAAAUUUAGAUGAUUGUAUGGCAGCUUCUGAACCAUUGGUGAUUUUGUUGAAAUUGGUUGAUGAAGAUAGUAAACCAUCAAUGGCAGAGGUCAUUCCUUGUUUAGAAGUUGCAAGAAAAAGAAUUGAAACUCACUUCGCAAGUAAGCCGGUGAUGUUGACUAAACUAAAGGCGAUUUUCAUCAAGCGUUGGGACAAACAUUUUCAGAAGCCUUUGUUUGGAGCUGGUGCAUUUCUAAACCCCCAUUUUUACUACGAUUUGAAGGAGGGGUAAGCUUUUUACCUUUUUUUUUUAAAGGUUUCAACUUUCAAAGACUAAUUGCUUACUUUUGAAAUAGAUCUAGAGAAGGGCUUAUAAAGGCACUAAGAUAUGAAAAAGAUUUCAGAGAUUGUAUGCUAAGAAUGACACCUCUUGAAGAGCAUUCACAAAUUAUGGAACAAUUCAUUUGUUACAAGAAUAAAACAGGUGACUUCUCAAUGAAGGUAGCCAUCGACACGCUUCUAACAACGGAUCCUAGUAAGUGAUUUCAGAAAUCAGAAUUUAAGAUUGAAUUAUUAAAAUCUUACUUAGGCAAUUAGGGGUGUCACUCACUAUGUUUGAUUUCAGUAAAUUGGUGGUCUAACUUUGGAGUGUCAACUCCGGAAUUGAUGUUGUUGGCAACGAGGAUCAUAAAUCUUACUACGACAGCUUCUAGUUGUGAGAGAAACUGGAGCACUUUUGAUUUUGUAAAUACUUGCGACUUUGAAUACAAAAUCAAGUAUGCUUCUGUGAUGUAAAUGAAAUUUCAAAUUAUUAUUUUUUCAUCAGAUUCACACCAAAAGAAGAAAUCGUUUGGAAGUUGAUCGGUUGCACAAGUUGGUUUAUAUUAACUACAACGAACGUUUGAAAGAUCGAUUUCUGAAAAUAAAUCGAACAGACGAUAAGACCUACUAUGAUCCCAUUGUUAUAAGUGAUAUCAAUUACUCUAGUGAAUGGGUAACGGGUGUCGAUGGAGCAUCUGGUGAAUUUGUCUACGAAGAUGGUGGUUUGACAUGGGCUAAUGUAUGGGAAGCUAGUGGUGUGUCCGAGCAUGAAGGACCAUCAACAAGAGCAAGAAGAAAUGUCAAUGAAGAUGAUGAAGAGUUUUUGAUGGAUCCGCACUUGAAUGACGUCGAAGAUGAACUUGACGACACACUUAGCUAGAACUAAGUGUUUGAAUUAUACUUGUACUUUGAUGUUUGAAACUAAUAGUUUUGUUGUUUUGAAUGUUUCUUUAAGUUUUUGAGAUUUUAAGAGUUUAUCAUUAAUCACUAUAUUAUUUCAAUUAUGAUUUUUAUUAUGACUUAUAAUAUCAGGUAUUUAUUUAAAAUAUAGAAAAUACAGGGGGUAUAUUGAAAAAAAAAUAAAAAAAAUAAAUGUCGCAUAUUGGACCGCAUAUGCGACCAGGCGGUCGCAUAUGCGGUAUGCGGUCCCAAGCAUCGCCUGGUCGCCUGGCCGCGUGAAAAAGCUUGAUGUCAGGCCUUGUCGUGUUUAGAUAAAUCAGUUUACCAAUUAACCUUCUAUAUUUAAAAGGAUCUUUUAGCUGUUUUGUUUUAUCUUCCCUCCAAUCUUGUUUUUCAAUAGGUAUUUUGGAGGGUUUACUUCCUAAUAGUCCAUUAUCAUUUAGGAUAUCUUUUUUUUUUUUUUUUUUUUUUUUUUGAAGCAAUUAAAUUUCAUUAGAAUAAGGCUAAUGCCAAGUUUCCAAAAUAGAGAAUAGGAAUAAAAUAGAAGUAAAAUAGAAAUGAGCAAAAUGCUCAUUGACUCUCUCCCAUUAGCUAUGUAGUCUAGUUAUACAGUAACUAGAUACGCUGCCUCAGAAGGUUGGUCUCCCAUACUUCCAUCAUAGAUAUCUCCAAAGGGUGACAACAGCUCUUCUUCUAAUACACUGAAUCAAAGGAGAGACUGAUGUCUUUAAUGACCUCCUUAAGGACUACCUCAGGAGGUCUACUAAUGUGCUGCCUAUACCUUUUAUUUCUUUCCGUCCAUAUAUGCCACGACAAGCACCCAAUAGCAUUCCAUAUUAACCCCCAAGGGGGGGAGUGACGAGUAAUCUUUUGUGUUGCUUCCGUCAGAUCCCCCAAUCUAAUAUCUGGACUUGAUUGGGUAGGAACUGGAAUAUUCAUUAUUUUCCAGAAAGCGAAAUCCAGCUGUUCCGCCAACGAAAUUAAGAGAGAUCUGGAAUAAAAACAGUUAAAGAAAAGAUGACUCCUAGUUUCAUCUUCCAGAUUACACAAUAAGCAAGCAGGAGGUACUUGUACUCUCCAAUUUCUUAAUUUCCUGAACGUGUUUAGAUGAUCCCAUUUCACCCUCCACAAGAGAAUAGAGAAUUUUGUCGGCAUCUUCGACCAAAUUCCCUCAGCUAACAUGUCUUUAUGCUUUCUAUCUCUAAUACUUUCCACUAUUCCCCCCAAUUUAUUUAUCGGACUACCAGAUCUCCACAUAAUCGUACUAUUCGCUCUACAAUCCAAACAUUUAUCCACUAGGUUUCUUUCUGAAACAAAAGCUUUCCAAAAAUGCAAAUCCACAGUAGGUCUGAUUUGUAUAUCAUUAAACGCCUUUCCUGUAAUAUACCUAUCUUGGAUCCAUUUUACCAGAAUAGAAUCGCUCUUAUCCCAGUACUUUGAAGCUCUUUUAAUGUAUAUUUUCUUUGGGAUAGAAAAAUCCCAUUAUCUGAAUAUGAUACUUCUAUUCCUAGGAAAUAUUGUAAUUUUCCUAGGUCUUUUAAAUUAAAAUAUGAUUUUAGGUUAUUUUUUAGCAUAUUUUUUUUUUUUUCAUUAUUCCCUGUAAUGAUAAUGUCAUCAACAUAUAUGACCAUAUAUAUGACAAAAUCUUUAGACUCUUUAAUAAACAAGGAAUAAUAUGAAAAAGCUUGUUUGAAGUUCAUUUUCAGAAGUGUAUCUUUAAGCUUGGCCAUAUAGGGACUUUUUUAGUUUACAUACCCUCUGAUUUUCUUUUUUAAGAAAUCCAGGUGGGGGUCUCAUGUAUAUAUUCUCAUUUAAAUCCCCAUACAAAAAAGUAUUAUUUACAUCAAUUUGAUGUAAAUUCCACUUUUUUGUAGUAGCAAUUGUGAUUAGUAUUUUAACAGUGGUGAUUUUUGCCACUGGAGCAAAGGUACGAUAGUAGUCAAAUCCCUCUAUUUGAGAGAAUCCUUGAGCUACUAAUCUAGCUUUAUAUCUAUCUAUUUCUCCAUUUUGGUUAUAUUUUAUUUUAAAAAUCCAUUUUGAUCCAAUGGAUUUCCUUGUGGGUGAGAGAGACACUAGAUCCCAUGUUUUGUUUAAUAAAAGAGCUUGCAUCUCUUUUUCCAUUGCUUUUACCCAUUUUGGGUUUUUAAAAGCUUCUAUAUAGUUAUGAGGUUCAUUGCUUAUAGAUAUUUUUCUUAAAUAUUCCUUCUUUUUCUUAUAUGAUAUAUAUUUACUUAUUGGAUGAUUAUUGCUGAAAUUAGCACUAUCAUUUAUAUAGUAAAAAUCCUUAUCUUUAGUUGAAGAUCUUGUUCUAAUUGACCUUCUACAUUGUAUUUCUUUAUUCUGUUCAGAAUUUGAUUGGCCAUCAUCUUUGGCUAUUUUAUCAAUUGCUGGAUUUUUAUCAUUUUCAGGUGUUAAACCAUUGUUGUUUGAUGAUUGUUCACUUAUAGAAACAGAUUCAUCCAAUGUGUUUUGAAAUUCUCUUAUAUUGUGAUUAUUUUCACUUCAGUUAUAUUUGUGUCUAGAGCAUGUUUAUUUUGCUCUGUGAAACUACUGAUAUCCCUGUUCAGAGUUAUGUUUAAUUCUAAUGGAUCAGUGUUCAGAGCUUCUUCCAACUCUGGUGAGAUGGAUAUAUCAGAGUCCAGAGUUUCAUCUUUGGCCCAAAUAGGGUAAUUUGAUUGCCCUUUCAACAAAUCAUUGACAAUCUGGUUACUAGGAUUGACACUAGAAUGUAAAAAAUAAACUGAUGACCUGGUUGUAAACGCCAGAUCAAAAGGUUUUUUUUGAGCAGCAUUGGAUGUCGCAAUUUCGUUCACAAUUUCCAUUUCAAGAUUUGUUUCUUUUUCCGAGCCUAUGUAUCACCACAGUGUGAGCAACCUGCUGGAACGGAUAAAAUCUGCAGCGGAAUCCCUAGGAGCGACCGAUGAUACCAUAUAAAAUGACGGAGACCCAAUGUUCUCGACGAAAGGCCGAGAAUAUCUAGGUCAGUGGCCGGUGGGAAUAGAAUUGGGGAAGAACAGGCUAACGAAAAAACUGUUCUUUAAAAGAUCUGUUACUGUAAAGUUUAAUUGAAUUGAAUUAAAAUUGUAAAGUUUACAUGAGUUAUUUAUAAACUCAAACUAUUUAUUACAAGUCCAAAAGUAUGUUCUAUUUCAACUAAGUCCUUUCACAUUGAAAUCUUUUAUUUUCCUUUCCGGGCCAGUCCAGACUCUAGACUUUUGGGCUUGUGCACAUAAUCCAUUUAAUCUGAUAAAUGAAUCCAUUAGUGAUAUUUAUUUUAUUAAACAUGAUUAAGUAAUUAUAAUUGUGAAGUAAUGUUAUUUAUUUAUAACUAAUAGGGUUUAAUUGUGAUGUAUUUUCUUUUUAAUUUUUUGUCUUUAUUUGUAAUUUCAGGAACAAAACCACAUAAUCUCCUUGUAUCUAUCUCUUCAGCAAGGAAUCAUCCUCUGUUUUUUUUGCAUCCUAUUUUGAAAAGCAAUCAAGUUUUUUUCUUCAUUUCUUGAUACAACUUAAUUUAAUGCUUCUUAGACUUAUUUUUCCUAUCAGAAAUAACUACUUUAUACUUUGCAUCAUUAUAUAUUAUCUUAGACUAUAACAGUUAGUCAGGCAGACCUAGGCUCAUGCACCAUAUGGUCCAUAUUAUUUAUGGAUAUCUUGAAUCCGUUUAGAUUAAUUGGAUAUGGAUAUUUUGGAUACGGAUCGUAAGUUAAAUGUGUGUUUAUUUUUAACGAUAUAGGUAAAAUUAAUGAAAUGUUUUAACAAUGAAGUUGUUGAAAGAUAGAAAUUAAAUUAUAUUUCGUAAAAUAUUACAUUUCUUUUGUUUGUAAAUACUAAAUAAUAACACUACAUAUUCUACAUUUCUUUUACAAAUAAUUUUUGCAAUUCUUUCAAAC